CGAAACCGCGAAUGGCUCAUUAAAUCAGUUAUGGUUCACUAGAUCGUACAGUUUACAUGGAUAACUGUGGUAAUUCUAGAGCUAAUACAUGCACCCAGUCCGUUCCCUCGUGGAGCGGAUGCAGUUAUUUGCCCAAAACCAAUCCGGCCUUCGGGUCGGUCAAUUGGUGACUCUGAAUAACCGAAGCGGAGCGCAUGGUCUCGUACCGGCGCCAGAUCUUUCAAGUGUCUGACUUAUCAGCUUGUUGUUAGGUUAUGUUCCUAACAAGGCAUCAACGGGUAACGGAGUGUCAGGGCCCGACACCGGAGAGGGAGCCUGAGAAACGGCUACCACAUCCAAGGAAUGCAGCAGGCGCGCAAAUUACCCACUCCCGGCACGGGGAGGUAGUGACGAAAAAUAACG
rnacentral:rRNA from 1 species